CUUUCGAACUCAAUCGCCAAGGGUGUCGAACGGAUUCGUCGCAACAUACCCCCACCCCAUAAAUUUUGGGAUGAAUUUUCGUUAACCGCCUUUGACACGGUUCUGAAACUAUAUUUAAAAUAUUUUAUGACAUACACGAUCACAUUCCAAUUUACUUCUUCACUCACUUUUCUCGCCCCUUCACUAAUCUGAAUAUUUACGCUUCCUUACUAAUCUUCGUCACUCUUGCGGAUUUGUAUUCUGCUCCGUUCUCCUCGCUGGUUGGAUUGCUUCUCCCGACGGUCUACUCUGUCUUUCAUUGCACUUCUCUUGGCGUUCGCCCGGUGAGACUUUCGAACUCAAUCGCCAAGGGUGUCGAACGGUUUCGUCGCAACAGCAAUCAAUCAUCAACAGUAGAAAUAGAGCCAGAACAAAGUAUUCUUGUUUUAAGCGCAUCUUCUAUGUCCGGAUCUCAUUUGCUGUUUCUACCAAGAUCGCGAAAUAACUCGUUCGAAGAUUAUUUUGAUUCUAUCGACAACCUCACUAACGUUCUCCCGUCACCUGAAAUUUCUACAAAUUCUCCAAAACCACAGCAACAGAAUACCCCUUCCAGUAGUAUUUCGAACAACCACCCCGUUCAGUGCAGCAAUGCUAUAACAAAACGUGAUGUAGAGCUCAUCCAUACUAAACUAGACUAUAUUUUAGACGCAAUCCAUGAUAGACGUGAACUUUCUGAACGCGGUAGCUCAAAUGUGUUUAACUUUGAGCCCAUAAAGGAUCUGGCCACAUUAAACGAAUUUGAAAGACAGCUAGGGGAGACUAACGGGGCAUAUAGAGAUCAAAUAUUUAAUACACUGCAUAGUUCGAUUAAGAAAGGGAAUUCUAAGUAUCAAAUCCAUCAAGCAAUCGACAAAUUGCUUGAUAGAAAAUUUGUUACUGAAAUCACGUGGUUCGGUAGAACAAAUAAGGGCGAGAAAAAAAUUGCAUUUUCAAAUUACACAAAUAUUAAAAAAUUGUUUGUUGAUAUUGCUGGCACAAUGUUCGAACAGCCAACGGAACAGUUCGUUUAUGAAUACUUGGGUAAAAAAUUUAGACAUGCUAGCAAUCGUGUAAAUAUUCUUGGAAAACGAACUACUACUCCUCAUAAUGUUAAACGAAAGAUAUAGAUUUUUUUUUAUGACAUGAAUGUCGUUUAGUUUAAUAAGAUUUGGGAAUUAUACUAUUAUUUAAGUGUUUUCCAAAGGUUGCCAGGUCAGAAAAGAGACGAUAAAGAAAACAUAUUCGAAUGUGAUACACAGAUGAAAACAAGGUUCCUAUAUCAUCAAGAAUUUACUAAAUUAACAAUAUGUUUAGUUAUAUGAGUAAUGAAACUUAUGUGAAAUAUUAACGAAAAUAAAAAAAACCAUACAGUUGCACUUUACUUUUACCAUUUUUAUUUGUCUACUCAAAUCGAUAAAGUGUGAAGUAAUGGAAUGUACACAAACUCUUCUGGCCCUGUUUUUAUAGCUACUAACUUACACUUAAUACUUUGAGGGAAAAACUCAUCAGAAAAUGAUGAUAACGCAUUCAUGUUACCCUUCGAUAUGUUUAAAAGGAAGGAACUUAUUGGUUUAUAAAAGUAUUCUUCGCUAGUAAGAAGCUUCUUUCCUUUGAUAACCACUGUUGAUGCACGUUCAACUGCUGAUUCAAAUCUAACCACAUGGUUAUCCUUCGUUAAAAACCAUCCGUUUCCAUCUCCUUGCUGU